CUACCGUUCUGCCUCCGACCGGUCGUGUGUGGGUUUACUCGGAGGUGCUUUGCCUCUGAAGAAAAGAGGCGGGUGGACGGGGUGGGGGGGGGGGUGGGAGGCGGGGGCUUGUGGAGUUGCGCUCACGCUCGCACCUGCCGGUCCCCGCCCUGACCGCGAACGCUCAAGGUUGCCGCACGCAGGUUUUUCCUGGUACCACAGGCCCCCUCCCUUCCCCAGGCCUCCCUGAGCGCCUCUGCGGGCCCCUCGGGCCCCACGAGGGGCGGCUGGCGGGUGGGGAGUGUGACCCAUCCUCGGUGAGAAAGCCUUCUCUAGCGAUCCAAGAGAAAUACUAGGCUUUAGAAUUUCACCAUAUGAAUUUUGGGAGAGAGGAGCACAGUUCAGCCCAUAACUAACACACGACGGAAUGAAGUUGAUAAUAGUGAGACCUUGUUGGUACAAGACUAUGUAACAUAACCUGCGCUUCUCAACAAAGAAUUGCUUUUCUGACUUCUGCACUCAAUAGCAAGACAAAUCUCUCCUCUGCCUUCUCCUUAUCAGACUACUCAACAUGAAGGCAAUAAGAAUGAAGACCUCUAUGUAUAAUAAUUGACUUCCACUUAAUAAAUAAGGUUACUUGGUACACUGGUCGACAAAACCUUGAAAUGUUGAUGUUUAAGGGCUGUUGAUUGCUGGCAGCAAAGAAGUCCAACUGUGCUGGUACCCGAGAUAGCGUCUCCACAUUUUCUUCCAGGAUCAUCACCUUUGUUCUAAAUAGCUCCCACAUAGUGUGAACAGAAGUCAUAUGUUUUAGAUUUUCUGCCUUGGCACCCAGGAAACCAGUAUGAUUGAGUAAACAUAUUAAACUUCCUCUGCAUUUCCAGCCUGAACAGAUGUUGAGUACAAGCUGAUCCACCUACGUUCAACCUGAGAGAGUCCACAUCCACAGACUGUUUCAUUUCCCUUUUUCAAUUUACAUAGAAGCAUAGAUUCUUGCUGGCAUAUACAAAUGCGCCAUUUAAGGCAAUCAAAAAUGGUUCCACAUCUCAUCUGAUUUCCACAAUUGUUGCUGUAACGAUGGACUACUGAGGAGAGAGACAAUUUCUCUGGCACAUCUUCCCACAUUUUAGCAACAUGUUCAUGGAGAGCCAAUAUUCAGUAAUUACAGCCCAAUUCCUCACAAUUUCACAAUUCGCUAACAAUAUGCAUUUUCACAAUGUAAAGCUGAUUUUCCUUUAACCAAAUCAAACAUGAAAAGAUAGCUGCAUGCAAUGGGCAAUCUAGAUCAUUAGAAGAUUGAUGUAAAAUUAGAGGACACUGAGACUGGAAUAGAUUGCAAACUUCAGGGAGCUCAGAAAACUUGUAAACUCUACAUUUUGAGGAAAUAUGUUGUCGAUGCUUUUGCAACUCUAUGCAGUAACUUAACAAAUAAAGCCUUAAAGUAACUUA
rnacentral:lncRNA from 10 species